AACGUAGGACGCAAGCGUUAUCCGGAGUGACUGGGCGUAAAGGGCGUGUAGGCGGCGCUUCAAGUGGCUCGUGAAAGACCCCGGCUCAACCGGGGGGUGUCGGGUCAGACUGAAGGGCUGGAGGAUGUCAGAGGGACACGGAAUUCCGGGUGUAGUGGUGAAAUGCGUAGAGAUCCGGAGGAACACCAGUGGCGCAGGCGGUGUCCUGGGGCGUACCUGACGCUGAGACGCGAAAGCGUGGGGAGCAAACCGG
rnacentral:rRNA from 1 species